rnacentral:rRNA from 1 species
AGUGAACGCUGGCGGUAGGCCUAACACAUGCAAGUCGAACGGCAGCACAGUAAGAGCUUGCUCUUACGGGUGGCGAGUGGCGGACGGGUGAGGCAUACAUCGGAAUCUACUUUUUCGUGGGGGAUAACGUAGGGAAACUUACGCUAAUACCGCAUACGACCUACGGGUGAAAGCAGUGGAUCUUCGGACCUUGCGCGAUUCAAUUAGCCGAUGUCGGAUUAGCUAGUUGGCGGGGUAAAGGCCCACCAAGGCGACGAUCCGUAGCUGGUCUGAGAGGAUGAUCGGCCACACUGGAACUGAGACACGGUCCAGACUCCUACGGGAGGCAGCAGUGGGGAAUAUUGGGCAAUGGGCGCAAGCCUGAUCCAGCCAUACCGCGUGGGUGAAGAAGGCCUUCGGGUUGUAAAGCCCUUUUGUUGGGAAAGAAAAGCAGCAGGUUAAUACCCCGCUGUUCUGACGGUACCCAAAGAAUAAGCACCGGCUAACUUCGUG